AAGAGGAAACAAGAGCACGAUCGACUCCAUAAUUAUCCUUCUUAGGCAAAAGUUUUGGAAGAUGCUUGCAAAGAUGACACCGAGCUCCGAGCUGUUCUUGGUGAUAGCAUAGGCAAUCCUGAGCUUAUGAGGAAGAAGGUUGAAGAAAGAGUUCGGACAAAGGGUAGAGACUUCAGCAAAUCAAAAACCGGUUCUGUUCUUGCUUUCAAAGUCAGCUUUAGAGACUUCAACCCUAUUGAUUCAUACAUAUGGUUUGAACUAUAUGGUUCACCGACUGAUCGAGAUGUUGAUAUUAUUGGUAGUGUUAUUCGAUCAUGGUAUGUCCUCGGUCGCUUAGGUUCAUUCAACUCUUCUAAUCUUCAGCUGAAAGCCUUACUAAUAUGUAUCGAUGGGCAGUUGGCCAAUUCAUCCGUAGAGUAUGAUCCUCUUUAUGAUGCAGAGAAGGGUUUCAAAGUUAUUCCCUCAUCAUUUCAUGACAUCAGUGACAUUAAAUUUCAGGACAACUGGGGUAGUGUCUGGGUUGACCUUGGUACAGUAGAUAAUUUUGCCAUUGAUGCACUUUUCAACUGCUUGACAGUCUUGAGUUCAGAUAGAUGCGAAAAGGGAGGAAUCUGUGGGCAUCUGGGUGGGAGCAAUGAGGACUGGAGACACUUCUAAAAUGGGUCGAACAACAAUAAAAGUGGUUAGCAAUGAGAGGAAAAUUAAAAUGUGACAAACAAUGAUUGAGCUGAAGAUGAUUAUAGAGGGAGGAUAAUUUCAGUUGGGAUAUGCCAGGUCCCUAUUUGCUGAAGUUUUUCUUUUGACUUUGGAAUUGACCAACUUACAAAGCCCACGACGUAUUAAUGA